CUGUAUUCACAAAUUUACUAUUUAGGUCCCCUCGUUAAUUUUGUGGAGCAGUUUUUCAGUUAGUUACGAAACACGCAACAGGCGGAAAAUUGUUGCUUAAUUAAUCCAGUUGAAAAACGAAAUAAAAGAGAGUAAAAGUUCUCAAUCCAUAUUUUCCUCUGCAAUUCCUACGACACAGAAAUGAGAAAAAAUGGCGAUAAUUUUCUACAGAAAGAGGAGAGAGAAAAUCACACAGUUCGCUACUCAACAUUGAGGAAGCUGAUUGCAUAAUUAUCAAGGGAGAACGGAGAGAGAAAAUCACACAGUUGGCUACUCAACAGUGAGGAAGCUGAAUUGCAUAAUUAUCAAGGGAGAACGGAGAGAGAAAAUGCGUGAUCCUGCAAUAAUAACCUCAUUUUGCGGUGCAGCAGGUGUUACAGAAGGUCGAACUCUACUUUUUGUGAUGUUUGAAGUUGUGGAUAACACUUCUAUGGCAUUGAUAAAAGCUGAAGCUGAUGGAUUGGGGAAAAAAUAAAUUUUAAAGCUCCUUGUUUGGUUGACUCUGAGGAUGAACUCCUUGAUUGUUGAAGAAUUUCUUGAUAUAUUCCCAAGGCUGAAUCCAGGCAGCAGCAUAUGCCCAGAUGCCGAGACAUUGAAUUUUGCAUUAGCAAGUAAAGAAGAGAAAGCAUAGAAAUGUAAUCUUACAAAAGUUCAGACGGGUCUGCUGACGAGGCGACACGGCUCCUGUGACGAGAGAAGGUGACUGCAUCUUCUCCGACAAAUGUUUGGCCGGUGGUGGUGGAGGCAGCGGUGGAGGAGGAGCCGCAGUUGAUCAAGUGCCUCACAUCAGCCGUGCAAGGUGAGGAGGAGAAGAGGAGAAGGGGAAGGAAAAGAGAAGCUGCUGCAGUGUGGAAGUGAAGCAACAUCAUGGUGGGAUGAAAGAGGGGAGUUUGAUCACAUCUCACUGUAGAAGGUGUUACAAGAGGACUAGUACUAACACCCUCUGUAAUGUUUGAAGUUGUGUUGAAGAUUUCUAUCGCAUUAACGAAAGCUAUAGAUGACGAUGAACUUGGCACGAAAUAGAUUCUGAACUUCUGUUUAACAUUACUUAUUGUGAGGAUGAACUCCUUAGUAUUGGUUGAACAAUCUGUAACAUUGUUCCUAACAGGGGUGAAUUCAGGUAACAGCAUAAUUCCUGAUGCUGAAACAUUGAAUUUUGCAGCAGAAAGUGAAGAAGAGAAGGGACAGAAAUGUAAGCGCAGAAAAUAAGUGCCGGUUUGUGUGAUGUCAAAGUCAUAACUUGAUGGUUUGUUGAAAACUCUUGCUGUUUGGUACAAGGAUUCUGAUUGGUUGGUGUCUUUGACGGCUUUGGUUCCGUGACCCGAGAAGCGGACUUUGUCGGUGUUUUUGUCGCCGACAAAGGUUUGGCCGGUGGUGGUGGUGGCGGCGGCGGCGGUGGAGCCGCAGUUGAUGAAGUAAGGUGGUUGAGCAGUGAUAGUAUAAGCUGAGGAGAAGAGGAGAAGAGGAAGUAAGAUUUGGAAGAGUGAGAAAUGAAUGAGUUCCAUGGAAGGAUGGAUGAGGGGAGUUUGAUCAGCUCAUUUUGAUUUCUGUAUUUCUGUGGUUGUGGAUUGGUGAGAAAUUGCAAUUAUUUUUGAAGAGGACUGCAUAACUAACACUUUUGUUUGUGUUGACUUUUGUUGACUUGGAAGUUAGUUAAUUUGUACAACUACUUACUGUAAGUCUGUAACCAUGUUUUAAGAAUUAUGUAAUGAAAAGGUGAAAAACAGUCGUAGUCAGUGGCAAA